AUUUCUGCUGAUGUUUUCAGUUAAUAGUAGUUUAUAGAAUAUAGAUAUUCUCCGUUUCUAGCACAGCAAAAGGGUGUACGGCAUUCGUUGAAAGCCGAAUAAAUCACAUUUGCAACGCUUAAAUCAAUAGUUAAGCCGUUUACUAAUUAAGCCCAGGCGAAUCAUAAUUUAGUUGCUGUUGACACCAUAAUGCCAUGGAAAUGCCAUCGGAAAGAAGCCAGCUUACUUUGCCUAAUAGUAUUUAUUUGCGAAGCACUUUUGUCGGCCGGUAAUUUGUGCAGAGGACGUUUGGAAUGUCAGAUGGCUCUGGAGGGCAAAAGGAUAAUGCGAUCGGGUGUUCUGUUGUGUACCAAAAAGCACCAAUUCACCUGCGUAGACAAAGUUUGCGUUUGCGGAAGACCAGAAAAGUGCCAAAAAUAAAUUAUUUGUAUGACAUAUGGGUUAGUAAUCAUACUUUUUCGUAGUAAAUUUAAACACAAUGUAACAAAUAAAAAAAGAAAAAGCUUACGUGUAAAGGCACUAACAAAACGUGGGAAUUGUAUGGCUUACUGGCGAAAUUCUAUCUCCAGACGAUUUCAUGUUGCAUGCAGCCUUCGACGGAUGCCAAAAACAUGAGCUGAGCUAGCAUCCAAACAGUCAACAGCGUGUGCAUCAGCAAAAUUAACUGCAGUCAGAUGACCGGGCUAUUAUAGCGGGCGCUGGGAAUGGCUAAUCAAAAAUGGAAAGAUCCUGGGCUUACUACCACGCAACAAAGAGCUCCUCCAUUAGGUUGGUUUGCGUCCAUUGCUGAGCCGACAAACAAACUAGGAGCUGUCUCUCAACCAAGUAAAACUGCAUUCGACCGCUGCCAAUUGAGCGUUCGAAUUUGUUUGCGCCGUGGACUGCAGCUUCUCAGUGCAAUCAGAUGGAAUAUAUCCCGCUUUGAGCUGGCUGCUUUGGAAAUGAUAGAAAGUGUUGCCUUUAAGGGAGUCUCAGUUUCUUUCUUUUUUCUUUUUUCUGCAUUCUGAAUUCUUUUUGCAGCCCUAUGCUUUGCAUUCGCACCACCCACUGUGCUCUUUGGUGGCCUUAUUAAGUUGGCGCCUCUAUCUAUGCAACUGCCAUCAGCCGGGAAAGUUUUUCGCGUACCUUCGAUGGUCUCGGUUCUUUCAAUACACGGUAUAUAUGUAGCCUGGUUGUUUUAUAUUGAAUUAUAUGAGGAAACAAUUAGUAUCAUAGAUGAAGCAUAUUAAAUAUCUCAUGCUUUAUUGUCUUAA